AUACGGAGGGUGCGAGCGUUGUUCGGAAUUACUGGGCGUAAAGCGGGUGUAGGCGGUGGACCAAGUCAGGUGUGAAAGCCCUCGGCUCAACCGAGGAAGUGCAUCUGAAACUGGUUCACUAGAGUACGGGAGAGGAGAGUGGAAUUCCCAGUGUAGAGGUGAAAUUCGUAGAUAUUAGGACGAACACCGGUGGCGAAGGCGGCUUUCUGGAACGAUACUGACGCUGAGACCCGAAAGCGUGGGGAGCAAACAGGAUUAGAAACCCCAGUAGUCC
rnacentral:rRNA from 1 species